GGGGUGCAGCAGGCGCGAAAACUUCACACUGUGCGAAAGCACGAUGAGGGAAUCCCAAGUGCUGGCUCGUAAGAGUCAGCUGUUUUUCUGUCUAGAAAACAGAGAGAGUAAGAGCUGGGUAAGACGGGUGCCAGCCGCCGCGGUAAUACCUGCAGCUCAAGUGGUGGCCGCUAUUAUUGGGCCUAAAACGUUCGUAGCCGGUCUAGUAAAUGCCUGGGUAAAUCAUACGGCUUAACCGUACGAAUUCCGGGUAGACUGCUGGACUUGGGACUGGGAGAGGCUAGAGGUACUCCUGGGGUAGAGGUGAAAUUCUGUAAUCCUAGGGGGACGACCAGUGGCGAAGGCGUCUAGCUAGAACAGGUCUGACGGUGAGGAACGAAGCCCUGGGGCGCAAACGGGAUUAGAUACCCCGGUAGUCCAGGGUGUAAACGCUGCUUGCUUGAUGUUAGUCGGGCUCCGAGCCCGAUUAGUGUCGGAGAGAAGUUGUUAAGCAAGCUGCCUGGGAG
rnacentral:rRNA from 1 species